GGGACCAAACCAUCUCGACGAUUAGGUCAACUCUUAACCUAAUCGGGUCAAACCCAACUGAAUCCAAUUCAAUUGGACUUGAUCCAAAAAUAAUUACUCAAUCAAAUUGAGUUAAUUAGUGAUCAAAUCACUAAUUAAACCUCUCAUAAAUAUUGAGUCCAAAUUCGAUGGAUAAUCGGGCAUCAGAAUUCAUCGAUAUGUAACCCUGAUCGAAGAGUCCCAAACCAGUGGGACUCUUGACCCCGGUACCCAAAAUGUGUGGGACUCGUGAUCAGAGAAUUCUGAUUCUC
rnacentral:lncRNA from 1 species